CGUGAAAUCGGGUGUGAAUCCGCGGAGACCACUCCGCAAGCCUAAAUACAACCACGACCGAUAGUGAACAAGUACCGUGAGGGAAAGGUGGGAAGCACCCCGACGAGGGGAGUAGCAGUACCUGAAACCGUGCGCUUACAAGCAGUCGGAGGACUAUGUCGCAAGACAGUCUGACGGCGUGCCUCUUGGAGAAUGAGUCGGCGACUUACCGUUUGUCGCAAGGUUAAGGCAGUUACAGCCGGAGCCGUAGGGAAACCGAGUCUGAUAAGGGCGACAACAGUGGCAGGCGGUAGACCCGAAACGAGGUGAGCUACCCAUGACCAGAGUGAAGCGAGAGUAACAUCUCGUGGAGGCUCGAACCCAUUAGUGCUGCAAAACUAUGGGAUGAGUUGUGGGUAGAGGUGAUAUGCCAAUCGAACUUCGAGAUAGCUGGUUCUCCCCGAAAUAACUUUAGGGUUAGCCUCGAUUGUUUAGUGACAGAGGUAAAGCACUGAAUGGGCUAGGGGGCGUAAGCCUACCAAACCCAAUCAAACUCUGAAUGCUGUCACUCCAAGAUCGGGAGUCGGGCUACGAGUUAUGAGAUCCGUGGCCGAGAGGGUAACAACCCAGACCGACAUCUAAGGUCCUCAAGUGUGUGCUAAGUGGGAAACGAUGUGAAAUUGUUCAGACAGCGAGGAGGUUGGCUUAGAAGCAGCCAUCCUUUAAACAGUGCGUAAUAGCUGACUCGUCGAACGAUUUUGCGCGGAAAAUUCAACGGGGCUAAGCACGCCACCGAAGAUACGGAAUCGAGAGAUUAGUAGGGGAGCGUUCCAGGAACAGCGAAGCCAUACCGCAAGGAGUGGUGGAGUGACUGGAAGUGAGAAUGCCGACACGAGUAGCGUAAAUUGCGUGAGAACCGCAAUCGCCGUAUGCCUAAGGUUUCCGAUGCAAGGUCAAUCCGCAUCGGGUUAGUCGGGCCUAAGCCGAGGCAGAAAUGCGUAGGUGAUGGACAAUCGGUCAACAUUCCGAUACCAGGGCAGGAGAGCUAGGAAGGGACGCAGAAUGGUAGCUGAGCCGGACCAAUGGUAAUGCCGGUCGAAGCGCGUAGGGAAAUGACGAGGGUAGGCAAGUCCGCUCUUUGAUCCUGAAACGUAAGCGAGGUCCCCAAGCCGAAGUCAGCAAGCCAAUCUGCCGAGAAAAACUUCUAUGCGUUGAACCUGUUCUGCCCGUACCGCAAACCGACACUGGUAGGCGAGGAGAGUAUCCUCAGGCGAACGAGAGAACCUUCGUUAAGGAAUUAGGCAACAUGUACCCGUAACUUAGGGAGAAGGGUAGCCCGCGGUGAUGUUGUCAUACGAUGAUGUCAUUGUGGGUCGCAGAUGAGAGGCUCUAGCGACUGGUUAACUAAACCACAGGUCUCUGCGAAGCCGUAAGGCGACGUAUAGGGGCUGACACUUGCCCAGUGCUGGAAGGUUAAAGGGAGAGGUUAGCGCAAGCGAAGCUUUGAACUGAAGCCCCAGUGAACGGCGGCGGUAACUAUAACCGUCGUAACUAUAACCGUCCUAAGGUAGCGAAAUUCCUUGUCAGGUAAGUUCUGACCCGCACGAAUAGUGUAACGACUGGAGCACUGUCUCAACGAGGGACUCGGCGAAACUGAAUUAAUGGUGAAGAUGCCAUUUACCCGCGCCCGGACAAAAAGACCCCGUGGAGCUUUACUGUACCUUGGCAUUGCGCUAGGGCUUUGACUGUGUAGCAUAGGUGGGAGGCUUAGAAGCUGGUGCGCUAGCAUCGGUGGAGCCGUCAGUGAAAUACCACCCUGUUGGAGUUUUGGCCCUAACCGUACUCCGUAAUCCGGAGACGAGACAGUGCCAGGCGGGCAGUUUGACUGGGGCGGUCGCCUCCUAAAAUGUAACGGAGGCGCCCAAAGUUUCCCUCAGGCUGAAUGGAAACCAGCCGUUGAGUGUAAAGGCACAAGGGAGAUUGACUGCAAGACCUACAAGUCGAGCAGAGACGAAAGUCGGGCUUAGUGAUCCUACUGAUCUUGGUGGAAAGGCAGUAGCUUAACGGAUAAAAGCUACCCCGGGGAUAACAGGCUAGUGAGGCCCAAGCGUCCAUAGCGACGGCCUCGCUCGGCACCUCGAUGUCGGCUCGGCGCAUCCUGGGGCUGGAUAAGGUCCCAAGGGUUGGCCUGUUCGGCCAUUAAAGCGUUACGUGAGCUGGGUUCAAACCGUCGUGAGACAGGUUGGUCUCUAUCCGGCGUGGGCGCAGGGGAUUUGAGAGGAGCUGUUCUUAGUACGAGAGGACCGGAAUGGACGUACCUCUGGUGUGCCAGUUGUUCCGCCAGGAGCAUCGCUGGGUAGCCACGUACGGCAAAGAUAACCGCUGAAAGCAUCUAAGUGGGAAACUUGCCUCAAGAUGAGAUCCCCCCGAAGACCGCCAGUAGACUACUGGUUUGAUAGGCGACAGGUGUAAGGCCGGCAACGGUUUUAGCUAAGUCGUACUAACGGUCGUUUGGCUUAAACAU
rnacentral:rRNA from 1 species